rfam:Acidiphilium rubrum strain ATCC 35905 genome assembly, contig: Ga0104712_129
GAACAUGAGAGUUUGAUCCUGGCUCAGAGCGAACGCUGGCGGCAUGCUUAACACAUGCAAGUCGCACGGGCAGUAGCAAUAUUGUCAGUGGCGGACGGGUGAGUAACGCGUAGGAAUCUAUCCUUGGAUGGGGGACAACCGUGG